CAGCCGCCGCGGUAAUACGAAGGGUGCAAGCGUUAAUCGGAAUUACUGGGCGUAAAGCGUGCGUAGGCGGUGAGUUAAGUCUGCUGUGAAAUCCCCGGGCUCAACCUGGGAACUGCGCUUGCGACUGCACAGCUAGAGUAUGGCAGAGGGGAGUGGAAUUCCACGUGUAGCAGUGAAAUGCGUAGAGAUGUGGAGGAACAUCGAUGGCGAAGGCAGCCACCUGGGCCAAUACUGACGCUCAUGCACGAAAGCGUGGGGAGCAAACAGGAUUAGAUACCCCCGUAGUCCCUGUCUCUUAUAC
rnacentral:rRNA from 1 species